UACGGAGGGAGCUAGCGUUGUUCGGAAUUACUGGGCGUAAAGCGCGCGUAGGCGGACUUUCAAGUCAGGGGUGAAAUCCCGAGGCUCAACCUCGGAACUGCCUUUGAUACUGAUCGUCUUGAGUCCGAGAGAGGUGAGUGGAAUUCCUAGUGUAGAGGUGAAAUUCGUAGAUAUUAGGAAGAACACCAGUGGCGAAGGCGGCUCACUGGCUCGGUACUGACGCUGAGGCGCGAAAGCGUGGGGAGCAAACAGGAUUAGAUACCCCCGUA
rnacentral:rRNA from 1 species